rnacentral:lncRNA from 1 species
GUUGUGGUUUUGAAAGACAUGGCAGCUGCUAAAGAGAUGCUGAGUCUUCUGCACAGAGAUAAUGGGGAAGACGGCUGGCGGGCAGCUCAGGAGCUGGCAAGACCACAUCAUCUCAGCCAAAGGUGUAAAAGUAAAGAUUCCUCCGAGGGGAGACCAUGGAGCACUCUGCUUCCAGGGGGUGGCCCGGGAAGCUGUUCCACUGUGCUCAGUCACUCGGGUACGCAGAGGCUGCCGCAGUCCUCCCUAGAGGUUGGCUACUGCUCCAGAUGACCACAGAGUUCAGCAGCAACCACGUGGUGCGAGUUCUGCAGGAUUGCAGGCUUCUAGAGUCAGAGGGAUCCUGGAGGCUUCUGCUGAGGUUACAGAGGAAGUCCUGGGGGACAGGUGACGGGCAGCAGGGUUAGAGUCCCUGCAGGCAGCUCCUGAGAGGGCGAUGCAGGAAAAUGUGAGAAGGAAGGCAAAGUUGCAGUGCAGAUGCCCGAGAUUAAGAGAUGCCAGUAACACGGCACCUCUGCUGCGGAGAGCUGCAGCGAUCAAGUACAAACAAGCCGAGAGAGACAGGCCACACGGGCAGUAACCAGCAAAGCCUCGGGGCAGAGGGACACUAGCCCUUUGGAGGAUCAUGCCCUGGGUGCUGGACCGGAGCUGGGCUUCCACCUCGUUUGGGGUCCAGCCCCCUGUCCUCCAAGCCCCUGUUUCUCCUCUGUGACAUGGAAAUGUCUACUCUGUGCCAUUAUUUCUAGGACAUGGAUAACUUGUUGUUUUCAUUUUUACAGGGGAUCAAGCUGACAAUUUGCCUUGGAUCUCAGAAGACUUUGGCCUUGAAAGCUUUGACCCAGCUUCUGGGUAACGUGGGAAAAGUUGGAACAUGGGGACUCCUGGAAAUGGGCCAGAUGUACUUUGCACUGGGAGAUGGGCACGCGCUUUGGGAGACCAUGUGGGAGACCAGAUGGGUCCACACGUAGGGUAGUUGGGUCGACCAUUCCUCCCAUCUUCCAUGGUUUAGAUAUGAGUGUCCCCCAAAAGCUCACGGGUGAGACGACCCAAGAAAGUUCGAAGAUGGAACGAUGAGAUAAAGAGGUGGAACCUAAUCCACGGGUGGGUUGCACUGGGUGGUAAUGAUAGGCAGGUAAGGUGUGGCUGCAGGAGACAGGUCACGGGGCGUGACAUAGUUUAUGAUCUCCCUCUCUGCCUUCCUGAGCUGCUUUCCUCCACCUUCUGCCAAGAUGCCCUUCUGCCUCACGCCGGGCAUCCAUGGAGGGGCUGUAUAUGGACUGAGACCUCUGAAACCAGGAGCCAAAAUACACUUUUCCUCCUCGACGUUGUUCUGGCAGGUCUUUUGGUCACAGCAACGAAAAAGCUGACUUACCACUCUCAUAUCUAUUCAUAAGUAUUACUAGAAAUCAUGAGUCUAUUUAACAAUUUUUUUUUACUAAUAUCUAAAUUUUAAGCACCUUUAAGAGGAGACCACGUUUUGAUUUCUUUCAUCAGUGCAUUACAGUCAUACAUGAUAUUGGGGCUCAUUUGGACAUAAUGAUAGAGGCACGGAAUUUUAUUUGAUCCAGGUCAGGCCCAAGCACUUCCCCUUUCCUGACCCUCCGCCAAUCCCCUGCUUCCCUCCUCCACUCUGCUGGUCUGCCUUCUAUUUAUUUAUAGUAUUUUAAAAAAAUUAAUGCAUUCUGGAUGUGCAUAAAGGUGAACUUUGCUGUGGCCUAUUCACAUACGUACGUAGGAUCGUUCGGUCCAUUUCAUCCCACCAUUCCUCCCUUUUCCCAUCUCUCCUCCCUUCCUCUGCUCCCCCAGGCUCUCUUCUGUUUUCUUGGGAUCCCUCACCCUCCCUUUAUUAUUCUCCUAAUUUUGGUCCAGAUUCUGCAUCUGAGAGAAAACCUCUGACCCUUGGCUUUCUGGGUCUGGCUUAUUUCACUUAGCACCAUGUUCUCCUGUCCCAUCUAGUUACUGGCUAAUGCCACGAUUUCGAUCUUCUUUAUGGCAGCGUACCAGUCCACUGGGUAUGUGCUUUCCUGUUCUUUUUGAAGAAAUUAUUUAAAAACUUAUAUGAUGAAAUAACCUCAUGCCUUUCAUGAAACUCCACCUGCAAAAUUGGACCUUUGGUGUUUAUAUGUAG